rnacentral:misc_RNA from 1 species
AAUUCUCAACCAUACAAGUUUUUGUUAAUUUGUAUGGAUUGGAUCAUGGGAUUUGCGGGCUUUCACAAGUCGGCUAUCCUCAAAUGCAUUAGCAGAGCUUUUGCCGCUAGCUAUUAGUGUGAUAAUUAUCAACGCUGUUAGCGAGUGGCAUGAAUGGAGCUUCGCUUCUAAUCGUCUUCACAGACAACUUUGACA